ACACAUCGAUUUUCAGGGUCACUGAAACUCUUUUUUGGAUGAGUUGUAACAUACAUUUAGAGAGAGAUUGUGUUGCAUGGAUGACCAUCAAAACACAUCGAUUUUUUACUUUAAAUACCGACUAUUAUUUGCUGAAACAAUAGGAUAGACUGAGUUGCUGAUCACGACAGCAUUUUGAACUUCAUGUUUACAUUCGUACUACAUUUGAGAUAUGUUAACCCAGGAAGACCAAAUCAGGUGCGAAGUAAUUACUACUUGAGAACUUGUAGAAAACUGUCGUCUGGUGGAGACACAUCCGACAUGGAAGGUCUAAAUAUUUACACAUAAUAUACUUCAACUUGA